GAUGAACGCUGGCGGCGUGCUUAACACAUGCAAGUCGAACGAGGCACUUUAUUUGAUUUCCUUCGGGACUGAUUAUUUUGUGACUGAGUGGCGGACGGGUGAGUAACGCGUGGGUAACCUGCCUUGUACAGGGGGAUAACAGUUGGAAACGGCUGCUAAUACCGCAUAAGCGCACGGCAUCGCAUGAUGCAGCGUGAAAAACUCCGGUGGUAUAAGAUGGACCCGCGUUGGAUUAGCUAGUUGGUGAGGUAACGGCCCACCAAGGCGACGAUCCAUAGCCGACCUGAGAGGGUGACCGGCCACAUUGGGACUGAGACACGGCCCAAACUCCUACGGGAGGCAGCAGUGGGGAAUAUUGCACAAUGGGCGAAAGCCUGAUGCAGAGACGCCGCGUGAGCGAAGAAGUAUUUCGGUAUGUAAAGCUCUAUCAGCAGGGAAGAUAAUGACGGUACCUGACUAAGAAGCACCGGCUAAAUACGUG
rnacentral:rRNA from 1 species